rnacentral:rRNA from 1 species
GGGUUGUGAGGUUAAGCGACUAAGCGUACACGGUGGAUGCCCUGGCAGUCAGAGGCGAUGAAGGACGUGCUAAUCUGCGAUAAGCGUCGGUAAGGUGAUAUGAACCGUUAUAACCGGCGAUUUCCGAAUGGGGAAACCCAGUGUGAUUCGUCACACUAUCAUUAACUGAAUCCAUAGGUUAAUGAGGCGAACCGGGGGAACUGAAACAUCUAAGUACCCCGAGGAAAAGAAAUCAACCGAGAUUCCCCCAGUAGCGGCGAGCGAACGGGGAGCAGCCCAGAGCCUGAAUCAGUGUGUGUGUUAGUGGAAGCGUCUGGAAAGGCGUGCGAUACAGGGUGACAGCCCCGUACACAAAAAUGCACAUACUGUGAGCUCGAUGAGUAGGGCGGGACACGUGGUAUCCUGUCUGAAUAUGGGGGGACCAUCCUCCAAGGCUAAAUACUCCUGACUGACCGAUAGUGAACCAGUACCGUGAGGGAAAGGCGAAAAGAACCCCGGCGAGGGGAGUGAAAAAGAACCUGAAACCGUGUACGUACAAGCAGUGGGAGCACGCUUAGGCGUGUGACUGCGUACCUUUUGUAUAAUGGGUCAGCGACUUAUAUUCUGUAGCAAGGUUAACCGAAUAGGGGAGCCGAAGGGAAACCGAGUCUUAACUGGGCGUUAAGUUGCAGGGUAUAGACCCGAAACCCGGUGAUCUAGCCAUGGGCAGGUUGAAGGUUGGGUAACACUAACUGGAGGACCGAACCGACUAAUGUUGAAAAAUUAGCGGAUGACUUGUGGCUGGGGGUGAAAGGCCAAUCAAACCGGGAGAUAGCUGGUUCUCCCCGAAAGCUAUUUAGGUAGCGCCUCGUGAAUUCAUCUCCGGGGGUAGAGCACUGUUUCGGCAAGGGGGUCAUCCCGACUUACCAACCCGAUGCAAACUGCGAAUACCGGAGAAUGUUAUCACGGGAGACACACGGCGGGUGCUAACGUCCGUCGUGAAGAGGGAAACAACCCAGACCGCCAGCUAAGGUCCCAAAGUCAUGGUUAAGUGGGAAACGAUGUGGGAAGGCCCAGACAGCCAGGAUGUUGGCUUAGAAGCAGCCAUCAUUUAAAGAAAGCGUAAUAGCUCACUGGUCGAGUCGGCCUGCGCGGAAGAUGUAACGGGGCUAAACCAUGCACCGAAGCUGCGGCAGCGACGCUUAUGCGUUGUUGGGUAGGGGAGCGUUCUGUAAGCCUGUGAAGGUGUGCUGUGAGGUAUGCUGGAGGUAUCAGAAGUGCGAAUGCUGACAUAAGUAACGAUAAAGCGGGUGAAAAGCCCGCUCGCCGGAAGACCAAGGGUUCCUGUCCAACGU